rnacentral:rRNA from 1 species
AUUGAACGCUGGCGGCAGGCCUAACACAUGCAAGUCGAACGGUAACAGGAAGCAGCUUGCUGCUUCGCUGACGAGUGGCGGACGGGUGAGUAAUGUCUGGGAAACUGCCUGAUGGAGGGGGAUAACUACUCGAAACGGUAGCUAAUACCGCAUAACGUCGCAAGACCAAAGAGGGGGACCUUAGGGCCUCUUGCCAUCGGAUGUGCCCAGAUGGGAUUAGCUAGUAGGUGGGGUAACGGCUCACCUAGGCGACGAUCCCUAGCUGGUCUGAGAGGAUGACCAGCCACACUGGAACUGAGACACGGUCCAGACUCCUACGGGAGGCAGCAGUGGGGAAUAUUGCACAAUGGGCGCAAGCCUGAUGCAGCCAUGCCGCGUGUAUGAAGAAGGCCUUCGGGUUGUAAAGUACUUUCAGCGGGGAGGAAGGGAGUAAAGUUAAUACCUUUGCUCAUUGACGUUACCCGCAGAAGAAGCACCGGCUAACUCCGUG